rnacentral:lncRNA from 1 species
CAGUUAAAAUCUUCUUCUCCUAGGUCAAUGAUCUCGUAGAUCUCAUCCUGAAUCAAGUUUACAUCAACUAAUUGGUCUUUUUUAUUUUCAAGAUUAAAAAUAUUAAAUCAAUGGACAUAUUUUCAAAUGAGAGCUUCAUGAGUCCAUCACGAUAGUUGAUCAGGGCAUUGAUGGUUGCUAAAAAUGGUCUGCCUAAGAUGAUUGGGAUGUGACCUUUUGGGUUUGACAAUGGUUCAGUUUCUAGGAUCAUAAAAUUCAUAGGAUAAAUAAAAUCACUGACCUU